rnacentral:ncRNA from 1 species
CCUAAUACAUGCAAGUCGAGCGAAUGAUGAGGAAGCUUGCUUCCUCUGAUUUAGCGGCGGACGGGUGAGUAACACGUGGGCAACCUACCUUAUAGUUUGGGAUAACUCCGGGAAACCGGGGCUAAUACCAAAUAAUCUCUUUUACUUCAUGGUGAAAGACUGAAAGACGGCAUCUAGCUGUCGCUAUAGGAUGGGCCCGCGGCGCAUUAGCUAGUUGGUGAGGUAACGGCUCACCAAGGCGACGAUGCGUAGCCGACCUGAGAGGGUGAUCGGCCACACUGGGACUGAGACACGGCCCAGACUCCUACGGGAGGCAGCAGUAGGGAAUCUUCCACAAUGGGCGAANNNNNNNNNNN